UGGGGGAUAUUGCACAAUGGGCGAAAGCCUGAUGCAGCGACGCCGCGUGGGGGAUGAAGGCCUUCGGGUUGUAAACUUCUUUUGCUCUGAACAAGGCAUGCCUUUGGGGUGUGUUGAGUGUAGGGGUUGAUUAGCGCCGGCUAACUACGUGCCAGCAGCCGCGGUAAUACGUAGGGCGCGAGCGUUGUCCGGAAUUAUUGGGCGUAAAGGGCUUGUAGGUGGCUGGUUGCGUCUGUCGUGAAAGCUCAUGGCUUAACUGUGGGUUUGCGGUGGGUACGGGCUGGCUUGAGUUCAGUAGGGGAGGCUGGAAUUCCUGGUGUAGCGGUGGAAUGCGCAGAUAUCAGGAGGAAUACCGGUGGCGAAGGCGGGUCUCUGGGCUGUUACUGACGCUGAGGAGCGAAAGCGUGGGGAGCGAACAGG
rnacentral:rRNA from 1 species